UACGAAGGGGGCUUGCGUUGCUCGGAAUCACUGGGCGUAAAGGGUGCGUAGGCGGGUCUUUAAGUCAGGGGUGAAAUCCUGGAGCUCAACUCCAGAACUGCCUUUGAUACUGAAGAUCUUGAGUUCGGGAGAGGUGAGUGGAACUGCGAGUGUAGAGGUGAAAUUCGUAGAUAUUCGCAAGAACACCAGUGGCGAAGGCGGCUCACUGGCCCGAUACUGACGCUGAGGCACGAAAGCGUGGGGAGCAAACAGG
rnacentral:rRNA from 1 species